UGGGGGAUAGCAUAGUGACAGUGUGUGUGUCCAAUAUGCAUAAGGCCUUGGGUUUGACCCCCAGUACUACAA
rnacentral:tRNA from 1 species